rnacentral:rRNA from 1 species
UACGUAGGUCCCGAGCGUUGUCCGGAUUUAUUGGGCGUAAAGCGAGCGCAGGUGGUUUAUUAAGUCUGGUGUAAAAGGCAGUGGCUCAACCAUUGUAUGCAUUGGAAACUGGUAGACUUGAGUGCAGGAGAGGAGAGUGGAAUUCCAUGUGUAGCGGUGAAAUGCGUAGAUAUAUGGAGGAACACCGGUGGCGAAAGCGGCUCUCUGGCCUAUAACUGACACUGAGGCUCGAAAGUGUGGGGAGCAAACAGG